UACUUCUGGGAUUACUAUGAGAGUUACGGGAUAUCUCGCAAUUUCCAGUAACUCAAAGUAUGCUGCCCUCAACUCACUAUAUGGAACAAUUAAUGAGUACAACUGUAAAAUUCAUUGACUUUUUCAUUGUAAAAGACUAUGCAGGAAAAUAUAAUUAUGUUCCGAAAAGUAGCGCAGAGUAUAAAUACGGUGGAUAUAGUGAUUUACUACCUGUUCAUUUCUGAUACUAGUACCGUUUAGAGGUUACGUUGGCUCAUUACUCCGCUCCGCUUAUUCAGUGUUUUUAUCAUAAUGAAGUACUUAACUCUGUUUAUUUUUAUUAGUGCUCUCGUAUUAGUGGAUUGUGUCUCAUUGACUGCAAUUAAAGAUUUAAUACAAAUAUCUAAUACUAUGAAAGAAAAUGCCGUCGUCGUAAAAACACAAGAACUUCUGUAUAUACCAACAAAUUUGAAGGAUUGCACCAACACAGUGUGCGGUUAUGUUUGUCAACUUUUUGGAUAUUACUACGGACAAUGUCUUCCUGCUACCACUUGCAAAUGUUAUAACUAGAAGAAUUAUCGUAGACUCCAAAAUAUAAAAAUGACGUCAAUCCGCCACUGUCCAAUCUAAAUGUCUUAUCACCAUCGACAGCUACCUAUCAUUCUUGUACUUACUAGAUAGCACUAAUAAAAGAGACUAAUUCAUUAACUAAUACUAGACUGACUAAUAAAAGAGACUAAUUCACUAAUUCAUACAAUCACCGUGGCUAAUAAUAAAAAUCGAUUAUAUAAUGGUU